UGUCUAUUGUGCAUUCUGUGUUUUUUGUAUAUGUCAUGUCUAUUACCUCAGGCCUUUGAGGGGCCUAUCAGAAACCAUUCUUGGCAUCUGUGAUCCGCGUUCUUUAUUCUGGCACCAAUGCCAUAGAACUUUUGACUUAGGAGCUCAGACUGCCAUCAGACUCGCAUCUCUUCUUUAGAAGCAUCCAGUCAGAUGUCUUCUCAGGUCUUGUCCCGAGCUGUACGGGAAGCCGCUCCCUGCAAGGGAUCCAUUACGGCAGGUUAGGACUUGUCAGAAUGUGAGCUCUAGGCAGAGGAUUCUGACCGUAGGAUUCCCAGGCAUCCAUCUUGGCAGUUCUUGAGAUAAAUCAUUCAGUUAGCAUCUUCUUCCUCCAGGCUUCUCUGAGCCUCAUCAGCUCUCCAUCGGUCUCACCUCGGUCAUCUCAAUCUGCAUUCUCUCAGUCCUUGCAGUCAUUUCCAUUGCCAAGAGAUUUCUGUGUGUGUUGUGUCCCCCUUGUUCGUCACGGGUGUCUGCACGCAUUUGUGCCGGAGCUGCUCUGCCCUGCCGCAUAGCCUGGUGCAGUAGAAGAAGUCCCGGGGCCUUGUAGUUUGUAAUGUGGGGUGUGGUUGGACUCUAGAUGGCAUUUGUAGAUGGACACAAGAUGUUUGCAGCUGGGAAGUUAUCCUGGAGACCUUUGACGUUUGUUCUUACUUGUUUUUCAGAUUCAUCUGGAUAAUAUCUGUGCAUGAGGGCCCCAUCCUGGGUCUGGGAGUCCCGCGGAGCAGGUCCGUCACUGUUUGUCUCUGCAGCAGAAGUGUAAAUGGUGACUCUGUUACAGCGCUGUUCUUUGUCUUUUUCGGAAGUCAAGGCAGAGAGCCACAGUCAAGGCCAAGUAGGCAAGGUGGUCCACUUGCCAUCUCUCCUGGCCGAGCAUGCCCGAUGUCAGGUGCUGUCACCGCUCCAGGCAUGCCAAAGAACAGAGGAGAGCAGGUAUCCUUUGAGCAGCCUCUGGAGUAGAAUCAGGAUUUGAGGUACCCGGAGGAGGUUUGCAGCCAAAGUUUGGAAACGGCAGCACCGAAGCAAACACGGAGAACGUCCCGACGUCCACGUACAACCGACGAUGGAUUUUGUCCGCUCGUCUUCCAAAAGCUAAGUGUCGCGGCCAGUAGUUGGGAGAAGGGGAAAAACCUUUACUAUCACAGGGGGCAAUUUGAUGUCAGUUUAGCGCAGAGGUCUGUAGCGGGACGGGCUCUCUGGAAGCAAAGGGAGAGGGUUUCUCCUCAGCCUCACCACAGCCUCUGCCGGGCAGGGCAGUUCCGACCCAUCUCCACAUUGUCGUAAACUUUGCGUCGUCAGCCUUCUUCAACUCGACAUCGUCACGGAUCUUUCGCCCGAGGAGUUCGCCUUCAGGUCCGGAGCUACGGCCACGGUCAACCGGCGGUCUCCGCUUCCUUCUCUAGGCCCACCGAGCCUCUCGAGCGUCCUCUUAACCGCUUCGGCGCUAAAUUCGUUUAACGAGUUACAUUUCAUCAUUACAUCCUAUCGUCAUACGGCUUUCUUUCCUUUUGCAUCAUCAGCCCCCGGCUCAUCUUGCGCUAGCAAUCUUGGGUCC